GCGGGUGUAGCUCAGUUGGUAGAGCGUCAGCUUCCCAAGCUGAAUGUCGCCGGUUCGAAUCCGGUCACCCGCU
rnacentral:tRNA from 1 species